AUUGAACGCUGGCGGCAGGCCUAACACAUGCAAGUCGAGCGAGCGGCGGACGGGUGCGUAAUGUCUGGGAAACUGCCUGAUGGAGGGGGAUAACUACUGGAAACGGUAGCUAAUACCGCAUACCAUAGGAUGAGCCCAAGUGGGAUUAGGUAGUUGGUGGGGUAAUGGCCUACCAAGCCGACGAUCUCUAGCUGGUCUGAGAGGAUGACCAGCCACACCGGGACUGAGACACGGCCCGGACUCCUACGGGAGGCAGCAGUGGGGAAUAUUGCGCAAUGGGGGCAACCCUGACGCAGCCAUGCCGCGUGAAUGAAGAAGGCCUUCGGGUUGUAAAGUUCUUUCGGUGACGAGGCGUUAAUCACAGAAGAAGCACCGGCUAACUCCGUGCCAGCAGCCGCGGUAAUUC
rnacentral:rRNA from 1 species